rnacentral:rRNA from 1 species
UACGUAGGGUGCAAGCGUUGUCCGGAAUUAUUGGGCGUAAAGAGCUUGUAGGCGGUUUGUCGCGUCUGCUGUGAAAUUUCGGGGCUCAACUCCGAGCUUGCAGUGGGUACGGGCAGACUAGAGUGCGGUAGGGGAGACUGGAAUUCCUGGUGUAGCGGUGGAAUGCGCAGAUAUCAGGAGGAACACCGGUGGCGAAGGCGGGUCUCUGGGCCGUUACUGACGCUGAGGAGCGAAAGCGUGGGGAGCGAACAGG